CCUACGGGUGGCUGCAGUAGGGAAUAUUGCGCAAUGGAGGCAACUCUUAACCAGCAACGCCGCGUGGAGGAUGAAGGUUUUCGGAUUGUAAACUCCUUUUGUUAGAGAAGAUAAUGACGGUAUCUACCGAAUAAUCCGCGGCUACCUCCGUCACAGCAGCCGCGGUCAUACGGAGGGUGCAAGCGUUACUCGGAAUCACUGGGCGUAAGGAGCGCGUAGGCGGGAUAGCAAGUCACAUGUGAAAUCCUAUGGCUUAACCAUAGAACUGCAUUUGAAACUGUUAUUCUAGAGUAUGGGAGAGGUAGGUGGAAUUCUUGGUGUAGGGGUAAAAUCCGUAGAGAUCAAGAGGAAUACUCAUUGCGAAGGCGAGUUGCUAGACUGUAACUGACACUGAGGCACGAAAGCGUGGGGAGCAAACAGGAUUAGAUACCCCUGUAGUC
rnacentral:rRNA from 1 species